rnacentral:misc_RNA from 1 species
UCCGGCUUAUCGCCGGCAGUUCCUUUAGAGUGCCCAGCAUAACCUGAUGGUAACUAAAAGCGAGGGUUGCGCUCGUUGCGGGACUUAACCCAACAUCUCACGACACGAGCUGACGACAGCCAUGCAACACCUGUGUUCGGCCCAGCCGAACUGAAGGGAUCCAUCUCUGGUUCCCAAAACCGACAUGUCAAGGGUUGGUAAGGUUUUUCGCGUUGCAUCGAAUUAAACCGCAUGCUCCACCGCUUGUGCGGGUCCCCGUCAAUUCCUUUGAGUUUUAACCUUGCGGCCGUACUCCCCAGGCGGAGUGCUUAUCGCGUUAGCUUCGACACCGAAACAUAAAGUCCCAACAUCUAGCACUCAUCGUUUACAGCGUGGACUAC